GAGGGUACGGUUUCGGGGAGGUGGGCGGGAGGGGAGGACGGCUCUGUGGAUGGUGCGGAACUUGGCGGCCGAUCGACCUGAGGCAUUUCCACUACCUGUCGAGAGGACUUGGUGUGGGAGGAGAGAACAUGCCUCUGCCGCCCUGGCCCUGGCUGACUCCACCAGCCUAACAGCUUGAUACUCCCAAGAUCCUGGCGGUGUGGUGCUCUUGCCCCUUCGCCACUGUGGAAACAAAAACAGCCUUGACUUGCGUAGCAGACGUUUCAAGCACCUGAAGUUUCUGGGGCAGAAGAUUAAUUCUUGCCUCUGCAUCAAGAUAAAAUCCAUUUGAAGUCUACUUCCAAAAGAACAUGGAGCUCGGCACAUCAUUAAUACUAGCUCACCUGCCCAUCCCACCUGUGAAAGAAAACAAAGCUCCUCGGAAAACACAUUCUAAUAAGCGGUUGGCUUCAAACUCUUGUGUUUUGUUUUUAAACAUCAGUACUGGUUCAUUGGCUAAUGCCCAGACCCACUUUUACACAAAGCCUCCUAGGGCAUGCAGUUGCAUAUCCUGAGGAGGGGAAUAAGAAAGGGCUGGGAUUGGCUUAAUUUGACCCACCUCGUGUCCAGAAGCAUAAUAAUGGGCAUCAUAGUUAUACCUCCUUUGCAAAUAGCCAGCCACCUCUUUGGACCAUCUCUUUUCUGCUCCAGUUCUAGGCUGUGACCAAGGCAUGUACACAGCGCCACCUUUGGGUGAAGUGUGGCACUUCUCAGCUUCCUAGCGCAAAAUCAUAGGGAGAGAAUGUCCAAAUUUUGGGGGGCAAUGAAUCCAGUUAAGACCUGAGCCCCCUUAGAGGAUGAGUGGAGCAGUAUCAUGGGACAGGCUGCCAGAAGGUGCCCAGGGGCUCCUGGAAGCUUUAUCAGAGCCUAGAGCAUUGCAUUGCGCAAAUCUGCUGCAAAGGACCUCUUCAAAGUGUUGAAGAGCAAAGAUGUCACCCUGAAGACUAAGGUGUGCCUGACCCAAGCCAUGGUAUUUUCAAUCACAUCAUAUGCAUGUAAAAGCUGGACAACGAAUAAGGAAGACCGAAGAAGAAUUGACGCCUUUGAAUUGUGGUGUUGGCGAAGAAUAUUGAAUAUACCGUGGACUGUCAAAGAACGAACGAAUCCGUCUUGGAAGUAGUGUGGCCAGAAUGCUCCUUAGAGGCAAGGAUGGCGAGACUGCGUCUUACAUACUUUGGACAUGUUGUCAGGAGGGAUCGGUCCCUGGAGAAGGACAUCAUGCUUGGCAGAAUACAGGGUCAGCAGAAAAGAGGAAGACCCUCAACGAGGUGGAUUGACACAGUGGCUGCAUCAAUAAACUCAAGCAUAACAACAAUUCUAAACCUGCUCCAUUUGUUCUCAGAGAAAGAACAUGGGCUUUGAGGUCACACAGAUCCAGGUUCAACUCCCAGCUGUGCCACUUAACAGCCCCAACCUCAACUUUGUGGAGCCUCUUAGCCUCAUCUGUAAAAUGAGGCACUUUAGAGUUUUUCACAGGCUUUCCUACCCCUUGUGUCAUUUGUGCUUCCCACCAACACUGAGAGAGAGAAAAACAGGUAUGCAUCCCACCAUACAAAUGUGAAAACUGUGGCUUAGAGAGCAGGGUGCCUGCCCAAGGUCAUGGUUAGUCACUUCCAGCGUGGAUCCCCACAGAUGUGGAUGGAAUCCUACAGUGCUGACACAGGAGGACUCUCUAAGAUGGUGAAGUAGAGGCUCAUAGUGUGACCAGGCCAAUGUCACACAGCUAAGCAGCAGCUGGGCACAUAGUCCUAUGCCCAGGCCUCCUGCCUCCUUGUCUGGUACUUCUCCGGGACCACAUCACCUCAGAGCAGAGAAGGCCGCCUCUCCCCCAAGCAGUCUUGGGUAAUAUACCAGCCAGUCUUUGUGGGUGCCAACUGAGUGCAACCAGGUUGUACAACCUCACGGCUCUGCCACCCUCUCCAGAACUCCCUGCCUAGUGCAGGAGACAGGGGACAGCAUGUCCUGAGAGAGAAGACCGGAAGCCUCACCUUGGUACUGAGGCAGCAUCUCCAGCUCCUCGUCAUCAGCCUCUUGGCGACGCUUAAGCUUCUGGUAUUUUUUCUGUACAGAGCCAAACAGGAAAUUAGUGAAUAAGGGCACAUGACCAUCCUGGUUAGUGACAACAGUAAAGGCAGCAGUCACCUGCAUCGAGCAUGAAAGGCCCUCUGCUAAUUACAGCUGAAGAAAUGAAGGCUCAGAGAGGGCAAACAACUGUCCCAGAUCAUACAGCUAGGAAGUACAGAGGGGAGGCUCCUGCCAGGUCCUGACUGCAGAGCGGGUAUCCACUGCUUAGCCUCUCUGCACCGAACCCACCCCUCACCCUGCCUGGGCACCCCAACCCUCAGCCUGUUGUUGUUAGGUGCCAUCGAGUGCUUCAGAGUGACCCAAGCCCCCCGCCCCCAGAGCCAUCACAUACCCUCCUCCACAUAUGCACCUACAACCCCUGGCUGCCCGCCAUGCACAUCCUUUAAGACCCACCGAGCACUCAGGAAGAGGGCAGGUAGAGAGGGAAUAGGGGAAAGGUGUGGGGAAUGGUAAAAAGAAGGCUUAGGUCUGAGGCCCCUACCCUCCGCUCAGCAGGAAUUACUUACACUCCGGACACCCAUGUCUUCCAUCAGGUCAGCGAUCUCCUCGUUCUCACCUGGAAGGUGGGGCCGGAAGGAAGAGAGGCCUGUGAGCAUGCAGGGAGCCCUCCAGCUUUCCCAAAGCCCACCCUUUCCUCCAGAUGGCUUCAUCCUCCUGUUUGCAAACCUCCCACCCACCCCACAUGAGCUGGACACUGUGUGGGGACAGAAAAAUGUAUGAGACUAAGCAGUUGGAGGGAAGACAAACUCAAGCAAAGUCAGCCAACAACCAAAAGAUGUCAAAACAGCAUGUGACUAGGGGCCAAGGACUGAGCAAUCUCUGGGCUUGGCAGGAGUUCCCGCGAAUAAGGCCUGAAGGCUGGGGAGCCGCAGAAAGGUUACAAUGGACUUGAGCUAGGUCUUGAAGAAUGGGGAGGGUUUGGAGAAGCAGAAAAAAGAGGAGGGGCAUUCUCAGUAGCAGGAAUACGCAGGCUAGAGGGAACUGAGGAGCCUGGAAAGGUUAAGGGGUGAGAACAGAGCAAUGAAGAGACCCGAGGAGGAAACAGCAACAGUACAUUUACCCCAGCACAGGUACAACUGUGACCCCACUGCACCUGCGUGACCACCCUACAAAGCAGGUAGCAGUACUAUGCCCUUGUUGGAGGUGUGGAAACUGAGGCACAGAAAGGUUAAAUAAUUGUCCAAAGUCACAAAUCUGGUAAGUUAGUGGCCAAGAUCCACAUGCAGGCAGCCUGGCUCCAAAGUCCAAGUAACCCCCACCUGUACGUGCAGAAUGGCACGAAGUCGCACAAGUGGCUAGAAAUGUGGAGUGGGCUGCCUGGGUGCACUGCCCACCUGAAUGCCCCUGGCACUGAGGGUGCUGGGCAGUGAUGAGACCACUGGUGAGGAGGCCUCCACGAGUCAGGGCCCAGAGCGUGCAGUGGGAACCAAACAAAAAGGGAAGACAGGUGUUUUCUAGAAGGCCUAGGCUCUUAUGAUUCAAGGGAUGGAUACAUGGAAACGGAGCGGGAAAUGGUAAAGAGAACUCCAAGAUAUCACACCUGGUAAGUCCUGGACAGUACAAAACAAAGAAAUCAGGAAACUGGGAAGGUGUCUUUCUACCUCUACAUGACCUUCAGGGCCUCAGAAGAGUUUGCAUUUUCAAAAAAGGAAGGAAAGAAGAACAGAACACAGGACAACAGAGUACAUCACACAUGGUAAGAGGAAGUACUGUUUUGUGAACAUUUUGCUUGCAUGACACAUGCGCUGUUUAAAUGGCUGGGUUGCAACAUAACAGAUUUCUUAGUGUGGUCAUAGAAGUUUGAGAAACUCAAGAAGUUUGAGAAAGUCGCCUUAGAAGCUCCUUAUAUCAGUCUUCACCUUUGUUUCCCCAACAAAUGGUCACUGAGUAAAUGAAUAAAUGAAUGAAAGAGGAAAUGAAUGAACAAGUGCAGGCCUGGCCAGGCCAGAAGCAGCGCAGGCCAGGAUGGACAGGCGGCCCCACCUUUAUUGCCGUCCUCUUCCUCCACCUGGUCGCCAUCGUCCCCCUCCCGGAUGAUCAGCCGGCCGUCGGCGCUCACCUUGAAGCCGUGGUCCUUCCUCUUGCCCCGGCCUGGCCCGGGCUGAGUGGCUGAAGCAGCAAAGUGUGGGGACCCUGCUGGGACGGAAAACCCCUCCACUCCUCUGCUAUUCAGUGCACAGACCCAAACUUGCGCAUGAACUUGGUGAACAGGUUCCGAAGCUUCAUACGGAAGUGCCGCCGCAUGUCGUCUGAAAGUUUCCCAAUGGCUUCCAUCUGCCAGGCCAAGCACAGGUCUCAGGGGGGCGAGCCUUCUCCCCUACCUGCCCACUCAGUGCCAUCCACACUGGGGCCAGGUGGGUGAGCGUUCUCCCCACCCACCCACUCAGUGCCAUCCAGACUGGGGCCAGGGGGGUGGGCCUUCCCCCCACCCACCCACUCAGUGCCGACUAGACCCUGGCCAGGGCGGUGAGCCUUCUCCCCCACCCGCCUACUCAGUGCCAUCCAAACCGGGGCCAGGGUGGCGAGGCUUCUCCCCCACCCACCCACUCAGUGCUGACCAGACCCGGGCCAGGGCGGUGAGCCUUCUCCCCCAUCCACCCACCCACCCACCCACUCAGUGGUGUCCAAACCGGGGCCAGGGUGGCGAGCCUUCUCCCCCACCUACCCACUCAGUGCCGACCAGAGCCGGGCCAGGCCGGUGAGCCUUCUCCCCGACCCGCCCACUCAGUGCCAUCCAAACUGGGGCCAGGGUGGCGAGCCUUCUCCCCCACCCACCCACUCAGUGCUGACCACACCAUCGUCAGGAGGGUGAGCCUUCUCCCCCACCUGCCCACUCAGUGCCGACCAUACCUGGGUCAGGGCAACCGGGCCCUGCUCCUGGCCCACCCCUCAGUGCAAUCACCCUUCCAUAACCUGGGCAGCACCCCAUCUUCCCCCUAAACCCUCCUUCAUGACACAACCCUCCACCACCCCACCAAGAUUACAGCUUCAGGAUCGUUGGAAGAGUCUUUACAUGCAUGAUCUCACUGGAUCAAGAACAACCCAACGAGGCAGAUGCCAUUCUCAUCCCCAGAUUACAGAUGAGGAAACUGAGGCACAGAGGGAUAAGUGGCCACUACGUGGCCCCAGUGGCAGAGGCAGGAGUCUAGGCCAGGUCACGCCCAGCCUCCUCCUUCUCGGUUCCAUGCUUCCCUUCUAUUACACUGCCUUAUUCUCUGGUUGGCUGCUCUCAAACCUUCAUCCUGCCUGGUCUGGAUCAUCUGUAACAGAUCUUGUUAUUUGCAGUGUCUCUCAGUGGGGUUGGGGGAUAGGGCUUCUCUCUCCUAUUCUUGAAGGGCUCUUUAUCAAUUCUACCAUCCCCACUGCAGAUCACGGCUCUGACCUGUCUUUGGUUCCCAGUUAGGCUGCAGGCUCUGGGGGGCAGGGGCAGGCUAUCCUGACUCUCACCUGCUGCUUCCUGCCGUGACCUAGGGCCAGCCUCAAAGAGAUAUGCAAGAGGGACUUGGAGGUCUGAUGGGACUCAGUCCAGCUGGAAAUGGGUAACUGAGGGUUUGGAGGGUAGUCUCAGCUUGCUGAGAGCAUGAUGCCCCUGGGUCAGGCUCCCCUUGGGUAGGAGGGGGCCAUGGACCUAAUACCAAAGGGCUCUUCUGACCUUUCUGUAGCCUAAGCAGGGGGUGUCCGGAGGAGCCUCCUCGAACCAGGAAGGUCAAAAGGCAAGACGCAAAAAAAAAGGCAAGAAGGGGGUCCCUGCAGAAGAAGAGCCCUGAGCCUUGGGUUCUGGUCCCAGCACUGCUUCUGACCAGCAGUGACCAAAGGGACUCCCUGCCUCUGUGGGCCUCUGCUCCCCAUCUGCAAAACAAGGGUUGGCCCUGCUCACUAGUCUUUGGUUCCCUGGAGGGGCCAUGGGGGUAGUGAGAGGCAGCCUGGGCAUCGCACCCCACCUCGCCUCACCAGCACCCCUUCCAGGGCUUCCGUACCACCUUCUGUUGCACAAAGUAGUCUGUGGCUAAAAAACUGAAAAUGUUGGGACUUGCUGGGUUGGCAGCCAGGAGGCCGUCUGGCCACUGAGAGGAGGGGACACUCACCACCAGCUGCACAUGCUUGGCCAGGUGCGCUACAUCCAUGAUGACCACCACCACCUUGAUGAAGCCCAGCGCAGAUUUGACGACAUCGCGGGUGCGAGAGGCCAGGAGCAGGCACACAUUCUUCAGCAACUGCUCCACCAUGCUGGUUCCCAUCAGGCCUAGGGUGGAAAGAAGGCCACUGUCAGAGCCGCCACCCAGACCAACACCCCCUCUUGGGAAGUAGCAGCUAUCACCUCCCCCUGCCAGGCCAAACAGUAGGAGCUAACAUUCUGGGGACUUCCCAGAUCCUUAGCACAGUUCUUAUCACUUCCCAUGGGGUAGCUCCUUUCAUCCUUUAACCACCUUAUGAGGUAGGUGCCAUUUUUCUCCCCCAUUUUAGAGAUAAGAAAUGGAGGUUCUAAGAAAAUAUUCCAUUUUCUAUAUAUACUUGUAUGCGUACAUAUGUGUAUUUAUACAUAUUUUUAUAAUUAGAAAAAAAAGAAAAACUUGCUCACUGUCUCACACCAUUGGUGAGAGGCAAAACCAGGACUAAAAUCCAGGCAUCCGACUUAGUUAGCCUAUGGUCCUGAUGUAGGAGGCAGGGCAGCUAACCUGCAUGGCUGCUUUGCACAGUGGGGCUGAAGGGUGUGCCUCAACCUGGCCAGAAAGGGCAGGAAGACAGAGACUAUAGGAAGCAGAUAGCCUUGGGUCCAGCUCUUCUUCCUGCUUCCUGUGGCCUUUUCCCAGUCUGGAGGUUAUCCUGUCCUGACCUUUCAGGCCGUUUCCUACCCUGAGGGUUUCCCAGGCCUUCAAGGAAGGAAGCAUUUACCUUUAAACUCAAAAAGGAGGUGAGUCAGGGCCAGGAUGCUGCAGCUGACCAUGGUCACAGCGCCCACGAGACCAGGGUAGAUCAGGACGAGGUAGCGCUGCAGGGCCUCUGGGGGGCAGAGACCAGGACGGUGUCACAUCAGAACAAAGCUCACCCGCAUGCGCCAUCCUGGGCCCCCCCAGGAGGGGAUCCUGGGCCACAGAGGAGCAGCCUUCCCAACUCCAGGACCAGGGAGCUUGCCCCACUUUUUCUCUUUGACCAGUGACUCUGAGGGGUGCUUACCCCCACCUGGCCAAGAACAGACCUUCCUCCCUCAGCCCCAAUCACUUGGGCCUCACCUUCCUGAUUCGAGCCAAACCGAAGGAAGGCACGGCCCAUCUCCACCAGCAGAGCGAAGGCGUUCUUCCGGGCCCCCACUGACACCUCCUUGGUGCACAGGAUCACCUGGCCCAGAUAGCCUGUGAGCAUGCCUCCCAGAACCCACCCACUCCGGGCCUGCUGUCCAAGGCAGAACAAGGCCAGGUCGUCCAGGUGGCUCUGCACGAAGCGGGCCCCAGGGCCCUGGGGGCUGGCACACACUUCCUCCAGCACGCGAAACAUUUUCUGAGCAUCCACCAUGACUGUGGCCAGCCCUGGAGGGGAUUCAGAGAAGAAUCUGGCCCUGCCCUCCCAGGGCUCACGAGUCUGAUGAGGCCAGUGGAACAUGGACAGAGAAACUAACUCCUGUUCCAGGCACUGGGGGCACUGCAGCGAGUGAGCCCUGCAUGGCCUCCAAGCACUGCACUCGCCCACUCCAAGCAGCACACGCCCAGCAGCAUGAAUGCCCUGGGCCUGGAACGCACAGGGCCUUUGCACCUGCUCUUUCCAGCUGGAGCACUCUUCUCACCCCUCCUUCGCCUGGCUGACUUCCUACUGUUUCAAUGUAGCUCUUACCCCCAGGUGCCUUUCCUGAGGUUAGGUAGCCCCGUCCUGGACUUGUGGGUUCGCCUGCAUGGUCCCCCCAGAGCGCUUCUCAUGCUGCUUGGUAACUGAUUAUUAAUCAGCCUCAGGGUGAAGGCUUUCAGGAGACCCCCACGGAGCUGUGCUUGCAUAGUGGUUGGCUGCAGUGGGCAGGGCGAGCAUUUCAAGCAGAGGGCCUAGCAUGUGGAAAGGCACAGAGGGGCCUGCUAUAUCUGAGACUCUUAAAAGCAGCCUAAUGCGGCAGGAGUGGCAGAGGUGGGUAAAGAUCAGGCCAGUCUUGGAUGGGCCUAGUCAGAGAGCCCACCAAAGGAGCCUGGCUUCCGUUCUACAUAAGAAGCCUUUGCAGGUGAGGCCUGAGCUCAGCUGUGUAGUUCAGUCGCCCCGGCACCUACGUGAUAGACAGGCCAGACAGGUGCAAGGAGAAGCCACUCCAGAAAGCAGACAGGGGCCUGGUCUGGGGCAACAGCAGAGGAUGAAGAUGAGAAGGCAGGCCCCACCUUCCCAGGAAGCCCCAUCUCCCUCCAGGGGUGGUCACUGGGACUCUGGGCCUCCCAGCUCACCUCUAGGUAGGGCUGGAUGGUGGAAUACAGCUUGCUGAUUGCAGCUUCAUCAGCAUGAGGAGCCAAGGCCACGACCAGGUCCAGGACAGACAAUCUGCUCAGGGGCAGGAGACAAGGAACGGGUUGUAGGGCGCUGGAGAAGGGCAGAGACUGUCAGUGGUCUCCAGUCUUCUGGUAAGGGGGUGGUCGAAGUCAGCAUGAGGAGGACAAGAGGCCCCUAAGAAGCCUGUGAACGAUAGUGCCAGCUGGUACUAACUGAGCAAUUAUAAUGUACCACGCGCUGCUCAAGGUGCUUUAUAAGUUGUUUCAAUUCUCACAGCAACCCUAUAAGUCAGGUACAGCUAUCAUGCCCAUGUUACAAAUGAAGACACAGAGGCAGAGUGGGUAAGUAACUUGUCCAAGGUCACACAGCCAGUAAGUGGUGGAGCUGGGAUUUGAACCUGGGCACCAUGUCUCCAGGGUCCUCAUUCCUCCCCAGUAGGCUAUAUGCCUCUCCAGGAGAAAGAAGUCAGUCAAGCCUCAUGGUAGAGCUGUAACAUUCAAUAUCUCAAGACUUUCCCAAAUAAUUCCAGAAAAAAGCCACAGGGCUUCUGCCAGGCACACCUCUAGCCCCCUGGGCUGCCCCAACUCAAGUGGGGAAGCUUGGAGCACGUUACCUGGUGAAGUCAGAGCUGGCAGGGUCGAGCACCUUCUCACUGGCUUUUUCCAGGAAACCAUUCACCAACUGGCAACCCCAAGGGGAUGAGAAGGAAGGGGUGUUGGGGAAGAGAGAUACACAGAGAAGCAGGAGCAGGUCCCAGAGUUGUCUGACCUUUCCCUGCCAUUGAUACUUAGAAGCCGCCAGCCCAGCCCAAGCCACGACCACUGGUAUCUGGUCUCCUGUCCUCCAUGUGGCAGAAACUCAAAACGAGCCCCGGUGGUAAGUUCUCAGCCUUUCCAACAUGCCUAACCCAACACUCGCCCACCUGAGAGCAUUCCUCCACCCCUCCACCAGCUCACCUGAGGCUCGGUUAUGGUGAGGUAAGUUUUGAUGGUUUCAAGCACGGCCCGGCGAGGGGCUGGGGUGUCCCCAGUGGCAACAGGUUGCCCGUACAGGUUAAAGAGGAUUGGCAGAAAGUUCUUGGCAAAGCGGCUCACUUCGGCUCGGUCAGCCUCUGGCAGAAGGACCACAGUUUGCAUGAAAGGGGCUGGAGCUGUCCCCGCCAAAGGUCACCAGGCUGCAGCCUAUGGGCAUCUUUUUGAGGAACCCUGUGGCAGGGCCUGGGGGCCCUGGUUUUAUGUUUCCCACUGACAGGAGAGGCUGAGGUCAGGGCACAGAGAACGAGGUGCCACAGUGGUCUACGCUCCUCCACGGCUCCUGUCCUGGGGCCAGCACUCUGCUAGCCGCACAAUAAAGCCUUCAACAUCACGGAAUAAAUCCACAGCAACUGUCAGUACACUGGGAGCAAAGAAGAGAGCCGGGGCAGUUUUCAGCCCCCUACUAACUCCUCGAGUCCUUGCAAAGGAUGAAAUCAAGAGGCUAAUUUCUUUGGCUCUGCCUAGCAGUGACCAGUGGUAUUUUUAAAUACCAGGCCAGGAGGUGGAGGGCAGGGUUACCCAUGUCAUCCCAGUCACCUGCCCUCUCACCCCGAGCCCACACGUACCUGCCUCACAGCCCUUGGUGAUGAGGGUGCGCAGGGCCUGGCACACCGUGACCCUCAGGUCUGGACGCUCACUGAUGGCCGUGCCCAGCGUCCGUGCCAGCCCUUUGAAGGAGGUGGCCACAUCUGUGGGCCUCGUGCAGAACCCAGGCAGGAGGGUCCAGAUCUGGGGAGGAAGGUGUGCAGACCCUGAGGCGUUAAAUAACUUGCCCAAAGUCACCACACUGUGGAGUGGCUGAGCUGGGAUUUGAAUCCUGUUGGUUCAGCUCACCAUCUGCUACACACAUCCAUGCCCCCUCACGGCCUCUUUCUUUCUUUAUAAUGACUACAUCAUAUUCCACAGGGGGGUUUAUCUUAACUAACUUAACCGGUACCCACUGAGGGACGUCAUGUAGAUUGCCUCGGAACUUCUGCUAGUAUAAACCACAGGGAACAUCUUUCCACACAUCUGAAUCUGUGUGUGCUUGUCUAUUCCCUUAGGCCAGACACCUACAUGCAGUAUUGCUAAGUCAAAGUGCGUGUAUAACCGUAAUCUUAAGAAAAUUUCCAGCGGCGUACUGCUAACGUUAAUGACACACAUUGGGGGCUGUAUUUUCUUGGACGGGCAGGCACAUACUUCUUUUGUAACCAGAACAAAGUGUUAUUUUUUAAAUACCAGAAAAAAAAAUUUAUGAAUACGUAAAGUUACUAAUAUAAAAAGCAUAAUUCCAAUUUAAUAAAAAGAUACUAUUUUUACAAAUAGGAAAAAAAUGGAAAAGGAAAUGCUUUAAAAUUUUAGUAAUAAUUAUCUCUGGUGGGGGGGAACUGAGUGGUUUUUAGUUUCUAUUUUAAAUGCUUCCUGUAUAUUCUCCCAAAACAUGCAUAUUUGACAAAAUACUGCUUGAAGUAAGAAUGGCACUACUGCCAUUUUGGGCCAGAUAAAUGUGGUGGCUGUCCCGUACUUUAUAGGCUAUUAACUGUGACAACCAAGAAUGUUUCUAGCUUUUGCCAAAUGUCCCCUCGGGGGCAAAAUCACCUCCACCGAGAAUCACUGCCCUAGACCAGGGGUUGACAAACUCUGUCAAGAGUCUAUAUUGUAGGCUUUGCAGGCCAUAUGGUUUCUGCUGCAACUACUCAUCUCUGUCAUUGUAGGGUGACAGAGCCACAGAAAAUAUGUAAAAUACGUGUCUGUCUUGCAAUAAAACUUUAUUUACAGCAACAGGCAGCAGGUAGGAUAUGGUCUGCAGGCCAUAGUUUACCCUAGACCCUCAACAUCUAAUGAAAACAAGAACUCCUGGAGCCAUUGCCUGGCCAGGAAAGGUGCCACUGCCCCUCUGCCUUUCCCUCAUGUAGGUCUGAGUCUGCUAACACAGGACACAAGUAAACGAGAGGGUGCACAGAGGGAUCAAGAAUAUGGGGAUAUGAGAAACUAUGCCUCAAAAGGAGAUGAGGGACCAAGGACAACUAGCCUGAAGAAAGGGCAUCUCAGAGAGGGCAAUAACCACCUUUAAAAACUUAAGAAUCCCCAUUGUUAUUGUUUAAGAUAGAUACGAACACGUGUGUGUGUGUGUGUGUGUAUAUAUAUAUGUAUUUAUAAACAAAUAUAUUACAAAAUUUCUUUAAAAAUCUGCUCCAAGGGAAGAAGGGGCAGACCUAUUCUUUGGGAUCCAAGGAGAAAGACAGCCCUAAGGUGGAGGCUCCCUACUGGAGGAGGGGAAGGGUCUGUAUCAGGUUCUGGCCAUGCCUCAGAAGGCUGGGCGUGAGCCCCGAGGCAGACAUUCGAGCCCUGGCUACUAACCGCUGGCAGGGGGAUGCUGCUGAAUGCCAUGAGGGCUUGAGGGUGCUGGGCUAGGACCCCUCCCAGCUGAGGCUCCAGGACUGUGGUGAGCCCUGGGCGGCACACAGGUGAAGGCCCCUUACCUUUGCUUUUCAGGGUGUUCGCCAGGGGCAAGAAGUAGGUGGUGAAGAAACCAAGUCGAGUUUCCUGGACAUGGUCCCGGAUGACAGGCAGCAGCCAGCUCCGUGGGAAAUCCAGAGUCUCUCUGGGAAGUGGGAGGGAAGGACCAGGGAGGCAGAGGUGACAACCUGGCUGCUGAGCCAAGGAACAGCCUCUCCUCUGGCCUCUCCUGCUGACCCUGCCCAGCACACAGACCUCAGUAGGAGGAGUGGACACCUGUCCCUGGGAGCAAACAGAUUGUCUGACUUUCCUGGCUCAUAAGGAAGCCAACUAGGGCCACACUUACUCAGAGCCAUCGAUUUCCAAAGGCACAGCCUGCAACACCACCUCAGGUCCCAUGCUGGUCACCGCAGCCCCCACUGCCUGGUCCAGCGCUGCCGUGUGGGGGAAGUGGGGGGAUAGGCGCAGGUCACACAGGGACUGUAGGCACUGAAGCAGAGAGGCGAGAUCACACGUCAGGGCAGCUCCUCGAGCAAGGACAGUGGCUAAGCCAAGCCUCCAAAAGGAUGAGGUCUGGAUCGUGGGCCAGGUUAAUGCUAACCCAGAGUCACAAACUGACAGCAAAUUCACCCCACUGAUGUUUGAUCCCUCACCCCCAGAAUUUAAAAAACUCUAUACUCACUAGUGAUACGUAACAAUCAGGAGAUUUUACAUACAAACCUAGACUUCUAGCUUAUCUUGAAAAACGGGAAUCCACAAAGGCAAGGAUGGCCCAUGCUGCUGGCACGGUGACAAUUAGCAAAACUAGCAAGCACUGAGAAGCUGGCCUCAGGGCAGGGACACAGCUGUGCCCUCUGGCUCACAACAGCCCCACCCCCACCUGCCAGCCUCACUUCUUACAGACCCACCUGACCUGUAGGAAGCUGAGUUGGCCACGUUAAUUACCCACGACACUGACCAGGCCGCUCAGGAAGCUCUACCUUCCCAGGGUUGCCCCUUUCUCCAAGCAGCAAUGAGAGCCAGUAAGGAAAGCCCCAUGAGGCUAGGUGUUCCAGCAAUGGAUGGGGGGUCUACGCCUGUCCUCUAGUCUGGGUCUGCUCAGGAUCCCUGCACUGUAGUGGCCUCCCUGAGACCUGUUGUUGUUGUUGGGUGCCACUGAGACAAUUUCAGCUCAUAGUGAUGCCGUGUGACAGAGUAGAACUGCCCCAUAGGGUUUUCUAGGCUGUAAUCUUUACGGAAGCAGGUUGCCAGGUCCUUCUCCUGCAGAGCUGCUGGGUGGGUUUGAAUUGUCAACCUUCGGUUAGCAGCUGAGCGCUUAGCCAUUGCGUCACCAGCGCUGCUUAGGCUAGAACCUGAGGCAGCUUAAAAACCAACAACAGUGCUAACUCAUUACGGAACAUUCAGACAAUUACAAACGAAAAGUUGACAGGGUGGGAGUGGGGGAGAAUCACACUGGUUCCCUGAGAGUUUCAAAACCAUCCACCCCAGCUAAGACCAGCAGGCAGGUGGGGGUGGGAGAGGCUUCUGCCUCCUCCCCUUCCUUUUCUUCCCACUUUAGUCCAUUUACCUUCCUGGGCACGCUGUGCUCUGCUGGGGGGCAGGGGAUAGGCUACAGAUAUAACAAAAGACGUGCCCCCACCUUCCAGGAGCCCCCAGCCCAGUACUUAGGGGACCCAAACCCCAGACACAGCCCAAAUACCAUGUUGCCCCCCGGCCCCAAGCUCGCCUCACCUUCUUCAUCACUGGGUGGGCCUGCCGCCCACAUGCCUCGAAGAAAACACACAGCAGCUGCAACACGGAGCUCCAUGCCGCGUGGAAUUUGUAUGUCAGGCCUUCCUCCACUGCCCUGUCAAGAGAGCAGGCACGAUCAAGGCCACGUUCACGCCCACCCCAGGCCCCAACCAAGAAAAGGUGGUGGCUGGCAUCAUAAGCUCUAGACCCCCAGCUGGUCAGUAAGGGUGGGGCCGUAGGAAAGGCAAAGAACUAACAUUUAUGAAACAUCCACACUGCUCCAGACACUCUGCUAAGACUUUAAUUUAUGUAAUCCUAGUCCUUAAAAAACCUGUGAGGAAGAGUACUUGUCUCAUCUUCAGAUAGGGAAACUGAGGCUCAGAGAGUGUAAGUAACCUGCCAGGAUCACUCUGCUGGUAGCCAAACUAGGACUCCAGAGCCCAUUUUUUGCCCACUGUGCCCUGUUCUCUAGGACUGACCACGGCAGAAGGGCAGGUAAGCACAGGGUGGUCUGGGCAGAGGGGAAAGCUGCCGCAGGAAGGAGGGCUAGCCCAGCCUCCGGUCCCUUCCAGCCUGUGCACCCCUUCGUCUGCUUCAUCCUCCAAAGAAGUCGAGCCCCUGGAGGACUUAGGCUUAGUCUGGGGAAAGGGGUGGAGUUGGGAGGGGUGGUGGUGGUGGUAAUUCUAUUCCUUGAGUUUUCCUGAAACUUCUUCCCAGACGAAUCCCCAGGAAAUAGGCCUAUUUCUCAUAAGGGAUGGUAACCAACGUGUCAUACUUGGAGCUGAGCAGAGACGAGAUCCAGAGGGGACACCAAGGUUUCCAGCCCCUUCCUAGGAACGCUCAGGUAUGCCUGGCUGCAAUUCCUCCCAGCAGGGCAGGUGGGUGGCGGCUGUGUCAGUGAAGGGGGUAAAGGGGGUGAAGGGCUCUCUCGCAAGUGUGGAGUGCAGCACAGCACAAGAGGGGCUCUGUGGUCAGGCUGCCGCUUACUCAUUGGGUGAGCCUCUGUGUCCUCAACUGUGAAAUGGGGUUAGUACCUAAAACCUAAGAAACCCUGGUGGCACAAUGGUAAAGCACUCAACUGCUAACUGAAAGGUCAGCAGUUCAAACCCACUAGCAGCUAUGCAAGAAGACUUGGAAAUUUACUUCUAUAAAGAUUACUGCCUAGAAAACUCUAUGGGGUAAUUCUACCCUGUCCUAUAGAGUUGCUGUGAGCUGGAACUGACUUGGCAGCACAUGGCAAUUACCACCUAACUCCCAGAACCAUAAGGAUCUCUAGUAGCAGCAGUAGUAAUAAAAGCUUAUAUUUACUGAGUACUUAACUAUGUGCCAGGUACUGCUCUGACAAUCUGACAUGUAUGACCUCAUUUAAUCCUCAAAACCUACAAGGUAGAGAGCAAGGAGGAAACUGAGGCAAACAGAGGCAGAACUUGCCCCAGAUGACUGGGGUUGCAGUCAGCAGAGCCUGCACCACACUGUGCCACUCCUCGUGCUGGACAGGCGCCUGGAACGUGAUGGCCACUCUAGUGGAGGCUCAGUAAACACAACCUGAAAUACCAUGAAGCACCUGGAACUCUGUGUGUGGCCCACAGGAAGGGACACACAGGGUACUUGUCAGUAUAACGGACUCUCCACCCAGCACACCUUAGGCCCUGCUAACAUGGAUGCCACAUUCUCACCUGAACAUCUUUGCAAUAUAUUGGGCAGGCCCUGGGGCUGCGGAGGUCACGGAGCCAAUGCUGGCCAUGUGAGGAGCAACACAUUCCUUCAGAAUCUCCUGCAAAAAGAGGCCACAGGCUGGCUGGGCCCAGGCAGCCCCCCAGUGCCACUCACCCCUCCCAGGCAACUCCUUCCUGAAACUUCUAGAAAGCUCAUUUCCCACCCCAAGGGCCUCCUCCCGGCUCUGGAAGGCAGGGCAGCGGUGGGUCCUCUUGCGUUCUCUGCUCCCUCAGCUGAAGUGUCUCUGGGGAAGCUGGGAAGUGGGGUACCUUGAGGCUCUGGGUGGCUGCAGCCACCACCUGUGAGUGCGGAGACAGGAGGCAGGUCAUUGCAGUUCCAAAAAAGCGAGCGAGGUGGCCCAGCCCCAGGUCCCGCUGCAACCUGCCAAGACAAAGGGCUUCUGUGUGGUCUGGUCCUAGGCCUCGGGGGCCUGAGACACUGGGCUCAACUAUUCAGAUGGCCCAGGCCUGACAAUAAUCACUGAUCUGCAAGGCUCUGCAGGGACCUGACUGCGGGCAAGCUGAAAAAAACAAAAUGUACUGUUGCGCCAGUAAUAACUAAAAAAAAAAAAAAAAUUCCAACACAUAAUCAGGGUAUACAAUGAAGAGCGUGCCUUCCCUAACAGAGCCUUCUCCUGGACUGUCUUCAGACCCACUUUCCAGGGGAAAUUAUGGUUAAGUUUCUCAAACAGUCCUCCAAAAUCUUUAUGCAUCUACAAACAUAUAAUAAUGACAGCUAACAUUUAUAUGGCAUUUGUUGCAUACCACACUGGUACAACACUCACUAAUUCACUGGAACCUUGCAAUAACCAGUGAGACAAGUCCUAUUACCACCUCCACUUUGUAGAUGAGGAAACAAGCACAGAGACAUCAAGUAACUUGCCCAAGGCCACCGGCUCAGGAUUCACACCCUGAGGCUCCGGAGUAUGCCAAUAAUCACACCCACUGUGCUGUUCUGCGCCUUGCUUUUCUCAUUCCAUCUUGGAGACUUGCCACAUAGCAUGCACACAUCCACACUAAGUACUUCACUGUCUGGAAGGACCGCCAUUUAUUUAACCAGUCCCCUCCUGUGGGACAUGUAGGUUGUUUCUGUUGUUGUUAGGUGCCGUCAAGCCUGUUCCGAUUCAGUGACCCCAUGUACAACAGAACGAAACACUGCCCAGUCCUGCACCAUCCUCCCAACUGUUGUUAUGCUUGAGCCCAUUGUUGCAGCCACUGUGUCUACCAUUACCCACAGUGCUGAAGCAAACACCCUAGGGCAUGGAAGGUGGACACUGUGGGAGUGCUCCUGAAGGAUGAACCCUGAGAAGUGGAGAAUGAGGCCAUCUGGCCAUUUUCUGGCACCUCUAGGUGAAAGGCAGCUUGGUGUAAGAAGACAAAUGUGGGCCCCAUAAACCUGGGCUAGAGACCCAGCUUUGCUCCUGAGUACCUGCAUAACUACUUAACUUGUAGAACCUCAGUUUCUUUUUUAUAAAAUGAGCUAAUAAGACCUUCCUUAGGAACUCUGGUGGCACAACAAUUAAGCACUCAUCUGCUAAAGCUGCUAACUGAAAGACUGGCAGUUCAAACCGACCCAGCAGCUCCACGGGCCAAAGACCUGGUGAUCUGCUCCUGUAAAGAUUACAGCCUAGAAAACCUUAUGGGGCAGUUCUACUCUUUCAAAUGAGGAUGCUAUGAGUCAAAAUCAACUUAAUGGCACCUAACGACAAGACCUUCCUCAUAAGGUUGCUGUGAUUAAUGAGAAUAAACAACAGACAUGAAGCACUUAACACAGUGCCUGGUCCAGAGCAGGCCGCUGAGUCCCCUGAGGGGACAAAAGAAUCACAACUUAGUGGAGCCAGAGGGGCCUUCAAGACCCUCCAUGCAAACGUUCGGGUAGGAAAGCAAUCAGACCUGGCUAAAAUGGGAGGUAUCACCCUGCCCCAUGCCUCAUAAAAACAAGAGCUGGUUGUCAUCACACACGACAUGGAAACACUGCCAAUCCCCAGGAAGCUGAAUGACCUUUCCAGCUCUGGUUCACAUCUCCCCCAUCUGCACCACAGAGGAGGUACCCUUGUAUAUGCCCCUUCACAGUGGGACCUACCUGACCAGGUUGAUGUGGGCUUUCUCCAUGACUUUAAGCCAGGCCAGCAGGGGUUGUAAGUCAUUCUCACUGGGGACGUAGUCGUACAAGGCCUGGAGGAAGAACAGGGAAUAAGCAGGUGACUCAGUGAGUGCAUUCUGCAGCAGCCUCAGUGACAAAGACCCCUCCCAUUCCUAGGGCCCAGCCCGUGAUCCUGGACCUCACAGCCAUCUUGGCUCUCCCAGUUCCUGCCUUGCCCUGCUCCAUAAAGGUCUCCUGGUUCUGAUUCUUUUUGGAAGAAAGCCUCCAGGAGCAAUGGAGGACAGGCUGGUGUCACACACCCCUUUGUGAAUCUGACAGAAGUCAUAAAGCCCCUCUCCAGAAAAAUGCACAAGUACAAAUACACAAUUUGCAAACAAUUUUGGGGGGUUACACCCCCUUCCCCAGGUUCAUCCAUGGAUCCCUAAGGUCAAGACCCCAGGCUCAAGGUAUCCAUUAACACCAUGAGACCAUGCUUGAAUUGUCUACUAAGUUAACCACUACUAAGUCAAGAAAGACACCCUUAUCCACUCAAGUCAGGUCCCCCAGCCACUGUGGACACUUAUGUGACUUAUGUGCUCAGUCUCCUGUCUGCCUGUCCAUCUAUUGUCCUCCUCUGAUGAAGCAGCCCAGUCCAGCCCAAUUCAGCCUCACUCUGCAGACAAGUAACAGGGUUGGCCCCACCAGCACAGCAGGGACCCUGCUGCCCCACCAUCGGGCCUUACCGUGAUGAUCUGGGCGUUGAGCUCUGCCGUCAGGGUGCCUGGGCCAGGCUUGGCGUGGAAGAGGCUGUGAAAUGCCUGCAUGGCACAGGCUGUCACCAGCUGGAGAAGACACAAGGCUUAGUGGGGGAUUACAAAGCCCAUGGCCCCUGGAACCUCAAACAUGCCCCUACACACGGACACUCAGAAAGAUACAGCAACCACUGAGAAAAUACUAAUGUUUUAAACAAAGACAAAGGAGAAAUAAGAAUGCUUCUAACAUGAUAGUGAGCCAAAAAAGCAGGCUAUAAACGGUAAGCAUACUAUAAUUACAGCUGUAGUUUCACGUAUUUUUAUGCUGGUUUGUUUAUCCACAGAAAAAAUGUCUGGAAGGAUACACUGCAAGUUGUUUGCACUGUUUACCUUAGCAAGCUGGACUUAGAAGAAAAAAGAAGCUUAUUUUUUACUUUAUGCACUUCUGAAUGGCUUUUUUUCCUUUUAAACAAUGAUCACACUAUUUAUAUAACAAAAAACUUUAAAUAUGUACAUGAACAAAAAUUACAAGAGAAUAUACAAAGAUUAACAGAAUCGUGUUGUUGUUAGGUGCCACCGAGUCAGUUCUGACUCACAGCGACCCCAUGUGACGGAGUAGAACUGCCCCCACUGGAUUUCCUAGGCUGUAAUCUUCAUGGAAGCAGACUGCCAGGUCUUUCCCUCGUGGAGCCGCUGGCCUGCACAAGCCACCGCUCUGAACACCCACCCGCAAGCUGCACCCACUCACCAGUGCAGCAAAGUACUCGGUCUCCGUCUCCUUCCCUCCCUGGGAGCGGAUCACCUCAGUGACGGCAGCCAGGACAGCACAGAUCUGCACAUGAAGGAGAAGGCACCCGUGACAGCUCCUAGACUCAGCCCCAUCCCACAGUAGCUUCUUUUUUCCUUGCUUCUUUACAAACUAUCCUCCUGAGAAAGCCCAGAGACAGACAAGACGAGCAACAUUCAGAGCCAGGAGUAUACACCACAGGGCCAAGCAAACGGGAAGACGCAGAACACGUCUGCCAAAGUCCCACCUCUAGAACUCUAAUAGAAAUAUCUGCACACGAGUGCAAAUAUUUAUGCACAAGUAUGUUUACUGCACCAAAAAAUUGGAAAAACCAAGUGGCUAUCAACAGGGGAUUAAUAAAGUAUUAUUGCA